rnacentral:rRNA from 1 species
CAAAGAGUGCGUAAUAGCUCACUGGUCGAGUGAUUUUGCGCCGAAAAUUUAACGGGGCUAAACUGUACACCGAAGCUUGGGAAUAUACAUUUGUAUGUUGGUAGGAGAGCGUUGUGUAAGGGGUGAAGUCGUAGCGAAAGCGGCGGUGGACUUUACACAAGUGAGAAUGCCGGAAUGAGUAGCGAGAAUUAUGUGAGAAUCAUAAUGGCCGAAAGACUAAGGUUUUAGAAGGAAGGUUCGUCCGCUUCUAGUUAGCCGGGAGCUAAGGCGAGGCCGAGAGGCGUAGUCGAUGCACAUACGGUUGAGAUUCCGUAGCUACCUUGCAUUUAAGCGAAGGGACACAUUUGAAGGGCAUGACCCGGGCGUUGGUUGACCCGGGCGUAAGGGACCGAAAAUAAGUAGGGAAGCAUGCUUGGAUGGUGGCGAGAAAAGCUUCGUGUAUAUAAGCAGGGUACCCGUACUGCAAACCGACACAGGUAGUCAGGAAGAGGAUUCUAAGGCCAUCGGGAGAAGCGUUGUUAAGGAACUCGGCAAAUUGACCCCGUAACUUCGGAAUAAGGGGUGCUCACGCGAGUGAGCCGCAGUGAAUAGGUCCAGGCAACUGUUUAUCAAAAACACAGCUCUCUGCUAAAUCGUAAGAUGACGUAUAGGGGGUGACACCUGCCCGGUGCUGGAAGGUUAAGAGGAGGGGUGCAAGCUCCGAAUUGAAGCCCCAGUAAACGGCGGCCGUAACUAUAACGGUCCUAAGGGAGCGAAAUUCCUUGUCGGGUAAGUUCCGACCCGCACGAAUGGUGUAAUGAUCUGGACACUGUCUCAACAACGCACCCGGCGAAAUUGUAGUACCGGUGAAGAUGCCGGUUACCCGCGGCAAGACGGAAAGACCCCAUGGAGCUUCACUGUAGCCUGAUAUUGGGUCUCGGUAUUUUAUGUACAGGAUAGGCGGGAGACUUGGAAACCAGCACGCCAGUGUUGGCGGAGUCACCCUUGGGAUACCGCUCUUAAAGUAUUGAGAUUCUAACCUGCAGCCAUGAAUCUGGCUGGGGGACAUUGUCAGGUGGGCAGUUUGACUGGGGC